GACGAACGCUGGCGGCGUGCUUAACACAUGCAAGUCGAACGGAAAGGCCCUGCUUGCAGGGUACUCGAGUGGCGAACGGGUGAGUAACACGUGGGUGAUCUGCCCUUCACUUCGGGAUAAUCCUGGGAAACUGGGUCUAAUACCGGAUAGGAGCCAUUUUUAGUGUGAUGGUUGGAAAGUUUUUUCGGUGUAGGAUGAGCUCGCGGCCUAUCAGCUUGUUGGUGGGGUAAUGGCCUACCAAGGCGGCGACGGGUAGCCGGCCUGAGAGGGUGGACGGACACAUUGGGACUGAGAUACGGCCCAGAAGCCUACGGGAGGCAGCAGUGGGGAAUAUUGCACAAUGGGAGCAAGCCUGAUGCAGCGACGCCGCGUGGGGGAGGACGGAAUUCGGGUUGUAAACUCAUUUCGCUAGGGACGAAGCUUUUUGUGACGGUACCUAGAGAAGAAGCACCGGCUAACUACGUG
rnacentral:rRNA from 1 species